CCUACGGGAGGCAGCAGUGGGGAAUAUUGGACAAUGGGGGCAACCCUGAUCCAGCCAUGCCGCGUGUGUGAAGAAGGCCCUCGGGUUGUAAAGCACUUUCAGUGAGGAAGAACGCCUGGUGGUUAAUACCCAUCAGGAAAGACAUCACUCACAGAAGAAGCACCGGCUAACUCCGUGCCAGCAGCCGCGGUAAUACGGAGGGUGCGAGCGUUAAUCGGAAUUACUGGGCGUAAAGCGCGCGUAGGUGGCUUGAUAAGCCGGUUGUGAAAGCCCCGGGCUCAACCUGGGAACGGCAUCCGGAACUGUCAAGCUAGAGUGAAGGAGAGGAAGGUAGAAUUCCCGGUGUAGCGGUGAAAUGCGUAGAGAUCGGGAGGAAUACCAGUGGCGAAGGAGGCCUUCUGGACUGACACUGACGCUGAGGUGCGAAAGCGUGGGUAGCAAACAGGAUUAGAUACCCCGGUAGUC
rnacentral:rRNA from 1 species